GUCGAUAUGGCCGAGUUGGUCUAAGGCGCCAGUUUCAGGUACUGGUCCGAAAGGGCGUGGGUUCGAAUCCCACUGUCGACA
rfam:Physcomitrella patens subsp. patens PHYPAscaffold_175 genomic scaffold, whole genome shotgun sequence.